UGGACAAAUUAUUGUAUUCGACUGUAUUCACGGCGUGAAACAGGGGAUUACACUGUUUUUAAACGGAAAGUGAAUCAAUUAACAUAAUAGACUCCU
rfam:Nicotiana sylvestris Nsyl_contig113037, whole genome shotgun sequence.